rnacentral:tRNA from 1 species
GCCGGUGUGGCGGAAUGGUAGACGCUGCGGACUUAAAAUCCGCUGGUUAUUGCAACCGUACGGGUUCGAGUCCCGUUGCCGGUA